rnacentral:rRNA from 1 species
GGAUCCAGACUUUGAUUAUGGCUCAGGGUGAACGCUAGCUACAGGCUUAACACAUGCAAGUCGAGGGGAAACGAUAGAGAAAGCUUGCUUUUUCUAGGCGUCGACCGGCGCACGGGUGAGUAACGCGUAUCCAACCUGCCCAUCACUUGGGGACAACCUUGCGAAAGUAAGACUAAUACCCAAUGACGUCUCUAGAAGACAUCUGAAAGAGAUUAAAGAUUUAUCGGUGAUGGAUGGGGAUGCGUCUGAUUAGCUUGUUGGCGGGGUAACGGCCCACCAAGGCGACGAUCAGUAGGGGUUCUGAGAGGAAGGUCCCCCACAUUGGAACUGAGACACGGUCCAAACUCCUACGGGAGGCAGCAGUGAGGAAUAUUGGUCAAUGGACGAGAGUCUGAACCAGCCAAGUAGCGUGCAGGAAGACGGCCCUAUGGGUUGUAAACUGCUUUUAUAAGGGAAUAAAGUGAGUCUCGUGAGACUUUUUGCAUGUACCUUAUGAAUAAGGACCGGCUAAUUCCGUGCCGGCAGCCGCGGUAAUACGGAAGGUCCGGGCGUUAUCCGGAUUUAUUGGGUUUAAAGGGAGCGUAGGCCGGAGAUUAAGCGUGUUGUGAAAUGUAGACGCUCAACGUCUGCACUGCAGCGCGAACUGGUUUCCUUGAGUACGCACAAAGUGGGCGGAAUUCGUGGUGUAGCGGUGAAAUGCUUAGAUAUCACGAAGAACUCCGAUUGCGAAGGCAGCUCACUGGAGCGCAACUGACGCUGAAGCUCGAAAGUGCGGGUAUCGAACAGGAUUAGAUACCCUGGUAGUCCGCACGGUAAACGAUGGAUGCCCGCUGCUGGUCUGAAUAGGUCAGCGGCCAAGCGAAAGCAUUAAGCAUCCCACCUGGGGAGUACGCCGGCAACGGUGCAACUCAAAUGAAUUGACGG